rnacentral:rRNA from 1 species
GUGAGGAAUUUUCCGCAAUGGGCGAAAGCCUGACGGAGCAAUGCCGCGUGAAGGAUGAAGGCCUAUGGGUUGUAAACUUCUUUUCUCAGAAAAGAAUUAUGACGGUACCUGAGGAAUAAGCAUCGGCUAACUCUGUGCCAGCAGCCGCGGUAAGACAGAGGAUGCAAGCGUUAUCCGGAAUGAUUGGGCGUAAAGCGUCUGUAGGUUGUUUAAAAAGUAUUCUGUCAAAGAUUAGGGCUUAACCCUAGAUAGGCAGAAUAAACUUUUAAGCUAGAGUUUGGUAGAGGCAGAGGGAAUUCCCGGUGGAGCGGUGAAAUGCGUAGAUAUCGGGAGGAACACCAAAGGCGAAGGCACUCUGCUGGGCCAAUACUAACACUGAGAGACGAAAGCGAGGGGAGCAAAUGGGAUUAGAUACCCUGGUAGUCC